ACUGAAACUAGAGUCACAUCCUGACAUGGUGCUUGUCCUGGUGUGCUACAGUUCUCAAAGAUAAUCUGCUGGCCUUGAUUCACUGAAGGGGCCUCCUUCAGUGUCCCUGUUAGUGUCUAUAUCAGAAACACAU